CAGCGGUCCUCCCUGCUCAGUUCACUCCUGGUCGCAGAAGGUGGAGGUUGUGGUUUCUCGCUCAGGAGGAGCUGCGAACGUUCCCUCUUCGUUCUUAGCUGUGGAAGGAAGGUGUCCGUUGGGCCUUUCUCUCUGCCCUAAACGAAGUGCGGGUGGCUUUUUAGGAACCGCAUUUUCGAGAAGGAUUUUGGAAGGCAAGAAAGCUUCCAGCCGUAGGCCAAGAUGCCCAACUAUGUGAACGAUAUGUGGCCGGGGUCACGCGAUGAGUCCCCGUCGGCCUCGGGCCGGUCCAGCCGGCUGUCGUCGGCGGCUGGGAGCCGCUCUCCCAGAAGCUCGCGGUCCCGAUCCAGCGUCUCCAGUCGGUGGUCGUCCAGCAGUCGGAGCCGGCGCAGGAGCAGGUCCAGGUCUCGGUCCCGAAGACGCCACCAGAGGAAGUACAGGCGGUAUUCGCGGUCCUACUCGCGGAGCCGCUCGCGAUCCCGUAGCCGCCGGCGGUACCGGGAGAGUCACUACGUCGUCUCCAGGAGGUAUUACCGGUCUCCGUCUCCCUCGCCGGACCGAUCCCGUAGCCGGUCCCGCUCUCGGGGGCGGUCGUAUUACCGAAGGGCCUACGCGGUCACGCGGGGGCGCCGCUACUAUGGCUUUGGUCGCUCCGUCUACCCGGAGGAGCACAGGAGUUGGCGGGCGAGAUCCAGGACGAGGUCGCGGAGCCCAACGCCGUUUCGCUUAAGUGAAAAAGAUCGAAUGGAGCUGUUAGAAAUAGCGAAAGCCAAUGCAGCAAAAGCCCUAGGAACAACCAACUUUGAAUUGCCCCCUAGUCUCAGAGUUGUUCCUGUAUUGAAGGAAACAAACCAUGAAACAAUCAUACCAAAUAAAGGUGCAAAGUUUGAGGUAAGUAUUCUAGGUUUAUCCAGACAAAAUCUUGAGAAAGCUACUUCCAGAAAGAUCUGAUUAGCAUUUUUAUUUGAUUUACUCUGAACUACAUUUGAGAAAGGCUAGCUAAAUAUUUAUUAAAGUCAAGAUAGCAGGUCUGACAAUACUUACUCUCUCCCAUGAAAAUAGACUUAACAACCUUUAUUUUUAGUUGACAGAAUAUUGCUUUCAUGAUUGUAGGUGGUAGUUUGAUUCUAUUUAGUUAACCAAAGAAUUUUCCUAGUCUCUAUUUAUCUGUAGUUUUCAUUUGCAGCAUUAUGUUCCCAGAAAUUCUGUACUCAACAUACAGUAUAGUUUAUCUGCUUUAUUUCUGUCUUAUAGAAAUCAUGAAUGUGGUCUCCAGACAUUGCUGAAGAAAAUCUGUUGGUAAUUGAUACAUGGGCAUAAGCAUCAGAGGUUUAACUAAUUUGAAGUUUAUGUUCACACACCGAAAGCUUUAGUAUUGGUAGAUCCAUGUGCAUGCUAGAAUUUGGGAUAGGUGCUGUUUGGAUAAGAUACAGAAGACCAGUUUUAAACUAAAGUACACUUUGUAAUAGUGGGGCAUCUGUGAUUUAGAUGUCCCUUUUGUAAUAUAUGCAAUGUAUUCCAGAUGUUUUGAGAGAAUACAGAAGAGGCCUGCUUCACUUGCAGAUAAGUUUAUUAUUCUCCAGAAAUAAAUGUGCAGGAUGUGCAUUGGCAAAUUGCCCUGUGCUUUUUAUGUUGGAACCCAAAGCAUAAAAUCCAAGCUUUAAGAAUUUAAGGUAAUUAGGAAUUGAUAGGCUCAGUUUAAAACAAAAGAAACAUUACCUAGAUGAAUCGAUCAUUCAUACUCAGAUAUGGGUAUACCUGUGUUAGUGCUAGACAAUUCUUCAAAUGAUUAGGUGUCAAACUGGCUAAUACAUUAGUUCUUGAAAACUAGGUAUUGUUACUGACUUACCUUCAGAGUUACUCGAAUUUGUACUGGGAAUAAAACAGUGCUUUAUGGGGAUUUGUGUCUUCAUCAGGUCCAUUUAAUGCAUCAAUUUUGUUGCGGGGGAAUCCACAGUACAGUGUUGUUCGGAUUGUGUACUGAAUGCUGUCGGAAAAGCUAACAGAAGAUGGAACUACAAAUGCCAGUGAAAAGUCCUCUCAACAAAAAAGCAGUAGCUUUAAUAAU